rnacentral:rRNA from 1 species
CAACUUUCAGCAACGGAUCUCUUGGCUCUCGCAUCGAUGAAGAACGCAGCGAAAUGCGAUAAGUAAUGUGAAUUGCAGAAUUCAGUGAAUCAUCGAAUCUUUGAACGCACCUUGCGCUCCUUGGUAUUCCGAGGAGUAUGCCUGUUUGAGUGUCAUUA